rnacentral:rRNA from 1 species
GACGAACGCUGGCGGCGUGCCUAAUACAUGCAAGUUGAGCGAUGAAGAUUGGUGCUUGCACCAAUUUGAAGAGCAGCGAACGGGUGAGUAACGCGUGGGGAAUCUGCCUUUGAGCGGGGGACAACAUUUGGAAACGAAUGCUAAUACCGCAUAACAACUUUAAACAUAAGUUUUAAGUUUGAAAGAUGCAAUUGCAUCACUCAAAGAUGAUCCCGCGUUGUAUUAGCUAGUUGGUGAGGUAAAGGCUCACCAAGGCGAUGAUACAUAGCCGACCUGAGAGGGUGAUCGGCAACAUUGGGACUGAGACACGGCCCAAACUCCUACGGGAGGCAGCAGUAGGGAAUCUUCGGCAAUGGACGAAAGUCUGACCGAGCAACGCCGCGUGAGUGAAGAAGGUUUUCGGAUCGUAAAACUCUGUUGGUAGAGAAGAACGUUGGUGAGAGUGGAAAGCUCAUCAAGUGACGGUAACUACACAGAAAGGGACGGCUAACUACGUG